UACGGGGGGGGCAAGCGUUGUUCGGAAUUACUGGGCGUAAAGGGCUCGUAGGCGGCCAACUAAGUCAGACGUGAAAUCCCUAGGCUCAACCUAGGAACUGCGUCUGAUACUGGAUGGCUUGAAUCCGGGAGAGGGAUGCAGAAUUCCAGGUGUAGCGGUGAAAUGCGUAGAUAUCUGGAGGAAUACCGGUGGCGAAGGCGGCAUCCUGGACCGGCAUUGACGCUGAGGGGCGAAAGCCAGGGGAGCAAACGGG
rnacentral:rRNA from 1 species